GCCCGGGUGGCGAAACUGGUAAACGCAGCGGGCUUAAAACCCGCAGCCGCGAGGCUUGCCGGUUCGACUCCGGCCCCGGGCACCA
rnacentral:tRNA from 1 species